ensembl:antisense Slain1os SLAIN motif family, member 1, opposite strand
GUUUCUCCUCCUCCUUUCUAAUGCUAUCGACCAAUCCUGAUGCUCCCUGUUGACCAAGCAUCCAAAUGUAGAGCUAUGGGGCCAUUCCCAUCCAAACCACAGAGUGACCGACCUAAUGCACAGUAAUGCCUCUUGUUUGUUCUGCUUUCUGCGCUGUGAAGGAAUCCAUACAGCUACACUGGAACGGAGGAGAUAACAUUACCUUAUACAACACUAUCUUCAUCUUUGGAGGAAAAUGCUUUGGAAUACUGAAAGCAUGACCACAGUUACAGCUGGACCAAACUGGUGUGCCUCUCUUGAGUGAAAAUGGCAGGCUCACAGAAGGAAAGAUAAGGAUUUGUAUGGGAAAGGUACAUGGGUUCGCUGGGGAUUAUCCAGUGUGCCUGCUAUCCUUGAGCUAAAGGCCUCCUAUAAUUUAUUAGUUGUAGCAGUUGAAAACAUGGACACUGGAGGGAGCACUGCCUGAUCGUAGUGAAAUCUAAGUUACAAAUGACUAAAUCUAAGUUAGAAAUGACUCCCCUCAUGGACAAAGAUGAGAAAGAAAUGUUAGAAAAAGUUCCUCCUGGUGUCCCGACUAACGAGGAUGCUUAGAGCCAUCACUAUGUUAUACUUACUGCAGGACGGUACCCGAGAAACCCCACUUCCAGCUCCAUGCAAGCUGGAGUCAAAGCUCUGACUGCUCCUCACUGUCACAGGAGAGCUGAGGUUGCUGCUGGCCGCAGCGGUGCUCGGCAUCCGGGCCAGAUUAGGCAUGCUUCUUCGUAGCUUAUCUAAAAGAAGAAAGGAUUUUCCUAAAUUAAAAACCACAAGUAAAUUGAAUGCCAAUAGAAACAUUUGCUUUCGAAGUAAAUAAAUAAAAAGGCAAUUUGUUCAAGGACACAGAAACAACAGCAUGUCCAUUACAAAAAGACUAAGGAAGAACCAAUCUCUUAUAUGGGCAAUGGACACUCUAGAAUAUUCUAACUGAUACAUAGUUGACAAGGGAAAACACACAUUCUAUGACAAAGAAAAAAACAAUUCUACUUUUUUGUUACUGCUCAGUAAGUGAAUUAACAUAAGGUUAGAAAAUAACCCUGCAACUAUUUACAAAUAAAAACACUAAAAAUAAAGAUAUUUGAGUAUUUAAUAUAUAUAUACAUAUAUUAUGCAUAUAUAUGUGCACAUAUAUAUAUGAAACUCAAAACCAAAACUUAGUAAAUCUUUUGGUAACACGUUAAAAUGGAAUAAAUAAAAUUCCAAUUUGAACUCUCUUAGGAUAGCUGCCAGUCACUAUCAUAAACUUCUUCAAAGCAUUAACCCUCCCCAUGUACAAGCUGUUUGCACUCUCAAAAAAAAGUCCAAAAGACUGAAUGACCUAAUUAUUUUUGUUUCUCUCCUGCUAGGCACACCUUCUGCCACCAGGAGGUAGCAGAGAGUUACAAACAGCCAGGCUCAGAUUUGAAAGUCUCAAGAACCAGUUGAAGGUAAUAGGUUCCUCCAUUACCACACAGGUCAGUUCACUCUAAGCAGAAAACAAAGGUUCACUCUAAACUGGAGCUGGAGCAAGCGCUAAACUGGACUUCUCUCCUCUUUCCUUUUAGGUCUACAUCAUGUAGAGCCACACACUUGUCCAAAUCCAGUCAGUUCUAAUAUUCCUUCCACCACUGCAGCUCAGAGCUCAUUUUUGCCACCCACUCCACAAAACACACUUAGCUGGUUCCCACAGACCCUGCCGCACUCUUCUAGAACACAAGGACACAUUUGAGAAGCCCCAGCUUGGCUCUGUCACUGCCACCCCAAAGCCUCAAAUUCUGAACAUGGGUCAGAUUAAGCCUCCAGGCUACGGGCCCAACACACCACCAGGCCUAUCUAUCUCCUGAUGCCCAUUCCUGCCAUCCACCUGUUCCCAGGGACAGGGGACUACUCCCUUAACUGGACACAGCAGUUCCUCCAUUGAACACAUUCCUUCAUUCCAUGGAAUGAGCAGGGAAAUACCUGUGGUGCACCUGUUAAAUGGCACGAACCCCGUUUAUGUUGGGGACGCCACAGUGUAUGAGACCACCACAGUUGCCAAGUCUCCUCAAGUUUAUGCUUUAAAACUGAAUUCCAUAUAUUUAGUUCCAUUAUCAACUCCAGAGGAGAAACUAAGAUAAAUUCAGUUUCUCCAAGAUGAAAGAAAUUAAAUAUUAAAGAAUAACAUUUUUAAAAGUAGGGCUGAAUUUUCCAAAGACCACAAACACGGUAAUGUCUAAAUUUGUUUUUAUUGUUUUUAAUGUUUUUCUUUGCUCAAGUCUAUUAAGAAUUAUCUUAUUAUACACCCCAAUACACUGGAGUGUGUGUAUCAAGGCAUACAAUCUGAUGGUCUUAUUUUUUUGCAAGCUAAGUCAGGAACCAGUGAUGUACUUGACUCCUCAUGAUGUGAAUCAAGCCAGAUCCCUUUAUCUUCCUCCCUUGCACACUGCAUCACCUUUAUUGCCCAUGUUCUUUAGUCUAGCAGCUUUUGCCUUCUGGUGUUGUCUAGGGAAUAGACAGAAAACCAAUCGAGUAUAAUAAGCAUAUCACACAGUAAGUAUAAUGAAGUACAAUAAGAAAUUUUAGAAAGUGCAAUGAUAGAAGACCAGUGUGUUUAUACCAACCUGCAAACUCUUGCUAAUACACUACAUGAAUCUACAGCUCCUCCUUCAUAGAGGAACUCUUCUCUACACACGCUGGCUACCACUCCCAUACUCCCUGCCUGUGCAGUUCUAUAGUACCCUGCCACAGAUUCUUCUAUUUCAUGUUUAUUUUCUUCAUUACAGUUAUUUCCCCUUACUCUCCUCUCGGGAGAUUUUUUUCCAAAAUCUCAAAGGUCUAAAACCAUACAGAGGACCAAAAUGUACAGACAUGGUGUUUCUUGAACAUUCAUACCUAUGAUAAAGAACUAAUAAAUGCUUAUAAGCAAGUCGAUAAUAAAAGUUAUUUCAAAUC